ensembl:lncRNA
UUUUUUUUUCUGAGAUGGAGUCUCACUCUGUCUCCCAGGCUGGAGUGCAAUGGCGUGAUCUCAGCUCACUGCAAGCUCCGCCUCCCGGGUUCACGUCAUUCUCCCACUUCAGCCUCCCGAGUAGCUGGGACUACAGGUGCUCACCACCACGCCCAGCUAAUUUCUUUUUGUAUUUUUGGUAGAGAUGGGGUUUCACAGUGUUAGUCAGGAUGGUCUCAAUCUCCCAAUCUUGUGAUCCGCCUGCCUCAGCCUCCCAAAGUGCUAGGAUUACAGGCAUGAGCCACCGUGCCCAGCCCCGCUUUUUCUUGUCAUAGGGUGGUGGGAUCCCAUCAGACACUUGGAGGUGGUCUAGGGCAGCCUGACCGCACUUAGUCUUUUUAAAUUUAAAUUAAAAAAUUCUUUUGAGACGGAGUUUAGCUCUUAUUGCCCAGGCUGGAGUACAGUGGCAUGAUCUCGGCACACUGCAACCUCUGCCUCCCUGAUUCAAGUGAUUCUCCUGCCUCAGCCUCCCGAGUAUGUGGGAUUACAGGCACCUGCCACCACGCCCAGCUAAUUUUUGUAUUCUUAGUAGAGACGGGGUUUCACCAUGUUGGCCAGGCUGGUCUCGAACUCCUGAUCUUGUAAUCUGCCUGCCUUGGCCUCCCAAAAUGCUAGGAUUACAGGUGUGAGCCACUGUGCCUGGCCAGUCUUUUUUUUUUUUUUUUUUUUUGAGACAGCAUCUUGCUCUGUCGCCCAGGCUGGAGUGGAGUGGUGAGAUCUUGGCUCACUGCAACCUCCUCCUCCCGGGUUUAAGCAAUUCUCCUGCCUCAGCCUCCUGAGUAGCUGGGAUUACAGGCGCCCACUACCACACCUGGCUAAUUUUUGUAUUUUUAGUUGAGAUGAGGUUUCACCAUCUUGGCCAAGGCUGGUCUUAAACACCUGACCUCAGGUGAUUCACCCGCCUCAGCUUAAAAGUUCUGGGAUUACAGGCAAGAGCCACCAUGCCCGGCAGGCCUCGCUUAGUCUUAAGGACAGCACGCCCCACACUGUCUGCCUAAAGAGGUGGCUGGGGGCCUGGAAGUGGUAGGGGCUGCCAGAAAGUUUGGCAUUCAUCCAUUUGCAGGGGAAGGAUAGGCACUUUCACUUGUUUCUGUAGAAAUUGCUAGAAACAUUGAUGCCCUUGCCACCCAGGGCCACCACCUCUUGGUCCAGCAGUACCUGUUUGGCUGUGAUGGCCAGGCAGCCCAGGAGAUGGCCUCAGCCACUGUGCACCAGGGCCCGCCCUUUUGCUACCUUUGACAGCCGCCCAUUACAGGGUGCUUUUGUAUUCCUAUGUGCUCCUUGGGCUUUGUUCUGGAUUCUUACUUGGAAAUGGUUUGAUUUGUUUGGGUCUUGCUUUUAAGCAUUGUGAGAUCCAAGCGGCAUUCUGGGUAGGACUCAUAUUCUCCCAGCACCGAGGCAAACCAUUUCUGAGCACUGUAUCCAGUGCGAAGUGAUUUAUGAGGCUUUCCACUUCGGCCGGCAGGAAGAGGCACUAUUCUUCGCCCUAGAGUUCUGAAGAGUUUGCCUCUAAUCCUUUCAUGUUGUUUUCCUUCUCUAGACUCAGGAUUUCCUCACAUGUAUCAAACUGAGCAGUACUCGGUUGAAUACUCGAGAGGACCCUCCGCAAGGGUCCAGAGUUCUGUGUGAGGCCCUCUCCUCCCCAAUCAUCUGCUUUGUAAACUCCGGGAGACUGCCGGGCUCCUCUUGGGCUCUCCUUCCAUGCCCUGUGAUCUGGACACUUUCUCCAGGCGGUAACUGGGGCAAUUAUAUGGCUUGUUCAUUAGUUUCUUGAAUCUUGGGGAUCACUGUCCUUCCUUGUCUGAUGUCUACUGUCUUGAUUUUUUUUUUGGCAGUCUCACUCUGUCACCCAGGCUGGACCUUUGCGGGUCCCUGAGCCCCAUUCCUGAAGUGAGUGCUGCCGGUCAGCUGUGGGAUCAGGGAAGACUUUGUGGAACACUGGGGUCUGUGUCUCUCCCUGUGAAGGCAGGAAAGCCACCGUGAGCACCCCAGUGACUGUGCCAGGCUCUGCCCUGAGCCCCAUGCAAGCCCUGCCCCAUGAGGCACACGGCACCUGCCCCAUUUUCACUGGGGGCAGAUGGGAUGACUUGCUCCAGCUGGUGAGUCUCAGAGGAGGGCCUCCUGCACCCAGUCUGCACUCUUCACCCCUCACCUGGCUGCCCUGCCCUAGUGCGUUCCUGGGAUGAGACCCAGAGGAUCCCUGGGCAGGGUAGGGGAGCCCUGGUCUUGCUGUGCAGCUCUGGUGCCAUUAGCUGGCCCUGUGCCCUUGGGCUGUCUGAAUACUCGCUACCCCUUGUCAUCUCCUGCGGGGGUCUGGCUUUUGAACAAGUCUUGGCUUCUUUCUAGGAAGUCGUGCUGUGAGUCAUUUAUCAACAGUUCCUGACUCUUGCUCUGUCCUGGCACUGCCCUCACGGAGCUGCCCGUUGCUGGGACGGACUAGAUAAAUGAAUGAAACCACGGACUACACGAGCAAUUACAAUUGCGAUGGAGGCCUCAAAACAGCAGCGCAGCAGGGCAGGAGCACACAAAGGCAGCCGGUGCCUGUGAGCGGGUCAGCCCACCAGGAAGGCUCUGCGGGAGGGAGGUGGCGCUUAAACGGAGACCUGCAGGAUGAGCAGGAAGGGACAGAGGAUGGAGUGGUCCCGUGGCGAGGAGGAGAAUGGGCCAUUUGAGGAGCAGAGAAAGUGCAGAGGGGCCUGGAGAACCGCGGGGAGAUGAGACGCGGAGAGGGGCAGGAGAUGGAGAAGGGCCAGACAGGAGGGCCUGCGGGCACUGUGAGGGCUGCACGGCAGCCAAGUCCCCUUCUAGCCUUCCAGAUGGAAAGGCACUAGGCGAGGUUGAGAAAGCCAACAUCCGAUGGGCCACAAAGCAAAGCUGCUUCUGCACCCUCAUGGGCCAAGAUACCAGCAAGGUGAGGUCACCUCCAGCCAGGGCCGGGCUCGGCUCUUGUCUCAUGUGUCCCGCCUUCCAUCCACAGCCCACUCGCUCCCCCCACCCCUGCCUGUGGCCUCUGCAGCUGGCAAUCUAGGCCCGAAAACAAUGCAGAGAAUCUCCGGCCGGCCGGGGCUGUGGUAUGGAUGGGCUUCUAUUUAUAACAAUGCAGCAACUGCCACCUCAGUGGGCCUGUGGCCCGACCUCUGGUGGGACUCUGGCAAGCCUCAAAGCCAGACCCUGGAGGAGACAGCAGAGGAAGGGCAGAUGACACAGCUGAAGGGUGUGGAGCCAGCUGCUCCCACCCUGGUGUCCUCGUCAGGACCCGCAAACCCCCAUCUGUGCGUGGUUC